rnacentral:rRNA from 1 species
UACGUAGGGUCCGAGCGUUGUCCGGAAUUACUGGGCGUAAAGAGCUCGUAGGUGGUUUGUCGCGUUGUUCGUGAAAACUCACAGCUCAACUGUGGGCGUGCGGGCGAUACGGGCAGACGUAGAGUACUGCAGGGAGACUGGAAGUUCCUGGUGUAGCGGUGGAAUGCGCAGAUAUCAGGAGGAACACCAGUGGCGAAGGCGGCGAUCUGGGAAGAUACUGACGCUGGAGGUGCGAAAGCGUGGGGAGCAAACAGG